rnacentral:rRNA from 1 species
UACAGAGGGUGCAAGCGUUAAUCGGAAUUACUGGGCGUAAAGCGUGCGCAGGCGGUUUUGCAAGCCGGAUGUGAAAUCCCCGGGCUCAACCUGGGAAUGGCAUUCGGGACUGCAAGGCUGGAGUGCGGCAGAGGAGACUGGAAUUCCUGGUGUAGCAGUGAAAUGCGUAGAUAUCAGGAGGAAUACCGAUGGCGAAGGCAGGUCUCUGGGCUGACACUGACGCUCAUGCACGAAAGCGUGGGGAGCAAACAGG